rnacentral:rRNA from 1 species
GAUCAUGGCUCAGGAUGAACGCUAGCUACAGGCUUAACACAUGCAAGUCGAGGGGCAGCAUUUUUCUACCAAUAGAAGAGAUGGCGACCGGCGCACGGGUGAGUAACACGUAUCCAACCUACCGAUAACUCCGGAAUAGCCUUUCGAAAGAAAGAUUAAUACCGGAUAGUAUACGAAUAUCGCAUGAUAUUUUUAUUAAAGAAUUUCGGUUAUCGAUGGGGAUGCGUUCCAUUAGUUUGUUGGCGGGGUAACGG